GUCCACGCCGUAAACGAUGAUAACUCGCUCUUGGUUAGCAAUGAUCAGGGGCUUAGCGAAAGCGUUAAGUUAUCCACCUGGGGAGUACGCCGGCAACGGUGAAACUCAAAGGAAUUGACGGGGCCCGCACAAGCGGAGGAACAUGUGGUUUAAUUCGAUGAUACGCGAGGAACCUUACCCAGGCUCGAACGCCGAACGAAUGUAGGGGAAACUUUACAGUCAGCAAUGACGGUCGGCGAGGUGCUGCAUGGUUGUCGU
rnacentral:rRNA from 1 species